CCUACCUGUAAUCAGUGAGUCCUUCCUGUUUUCUUCGAAUUUUGAUGUGCAACUGUAGUUUCUCCAUUUAUCUUGAAUUCCGUCAGAUCCCUGUCGGUCAGUUACUCAGUUUGUAGUAGAACUACACAUCUUUCCUAGACCUCCAUUGAAUUAGUUUUUCUUACUAGGUCAUAGUUGUUUGAUUAUUGGCAAACAAUCAUUCUUUACCUAUCCUUUUUGCAUCCGCAGAUUGAUCCGGCAACAGAGAGUUGAAGCUGCAAAGAAGCGUGAUGAGGAAAAAGCCGGUACACCACUACUCUUUGUAAUAUUUGGGAGAGGAUGACUAAUCUAAUAUUGCCAAGAUAUACGUUUGUUGUCCUUGACCUGAUUUUGAUGGCACUCAAUUUAUUUCAGCUUGGAGUUGGUUUGUAUUGUUUCUGCAAACAAUUGUCUGAACAUGUAAAUAAUAGUUGGUCACAAGUCAUAUGGGUACAGUGCAUCAUAACAACUCUGCCCCUACACAAUAUACAUCCCAUUACUUAUUUUUUUGGUAUGAUAAGUUGAGAAACAACUUGUUUUGUUGUUUUUUGAUGUGAACUACAUUAUAUGGACCUUUCACUCGAUUAUGUGCUAUUUUUUUACUAUAAUUGACAUGUUGAUAUGUCAUUCUAGAAUUUUGUUACUUCUGUUGGAACCUAAUUUUCAAUUUUACACCUUGCAGAAUUUAUGACUGGCAGAUUACAUGCUGGUUUCUUACUGCUUAGGUUUCGACAUUCGACAUUUGAACAAAUCAUAUACUGGAGAUUAUUAUAAUAGAAGGUAAACUUACCAAGCGAACAGAGCGAACAAUACUUUUGUUAGUGUUUUCCAGUCUGUUGCAUGCGCAUUGUGGUCACUACUGUCAAUCCAUGGAAAUUUAAAUGAUGGAUUAAACAAAUGGAACCUAUAUCCUGACUUGCCACUACUAUACUGUAGCUUCUGAAACACUUAUAUGCACAGAUAGUUUCUCUUUUAUCAUAACUGAAACAUUAUAAAGAUAAAUCUCACUCAGUUUUUAAGUGGGGAAGGGAAAGCUUCAAGAUAUUGCAUUUAAAACACUGAUAUCUAUUUGAAAAUUAAUUCAUGUGCAUACCUCCUGGAUCCUAUCAUUAUCAUGUCUCUAUUUCUCUUGUUCAAGAGAAGCGUGAAACAAAGCACUCAUAUUCACAGCAGCACAUACAGUUAUUCUAUGCUAUCAGAAAUAAGGUCGUUAAUAUUCAGAUAUAUGCAUGUAAACUUGGCCGGUUAAUCAUCAAACACACACACACACACACAAACACCACGCUGGAAGGUGGUAUUCAUGGUUGAUAGAUGUCCCUAUAAGAUUGUACAUUGUUCCUCUGAUCCAUUGCGAGGUAUAUAAAUGAUUCGAUUUUGACUUUAUUUUUUCAUCUUAGUUCACCUAGUGUUGGAUAAAAGUUGGACAGAUCCACAUAGGUAAGUCUUAUCCAUAUAAUGCUUUUACAAUCUGCCAGUGGAACUUUAAAUGAUACGAUUUACCAAUUUCAACGAUGUAUAUUAGCAGAUUAAGUAAAAGCAGUGUUAGAUAUGAAAUGAACUUAAUUCAACCAUUCUCUAGAAGAAAGUACCUAUUUGUCAUAUGGCGAUGUUAUCUUGUAGAACAACAAUAGGGAUUUGUUAACAUUCGACCUUUAUGCUGUACUUUUUCCAUUUUGAUUCGCCUACUGUUAAUAUCCUCUUCUUCAACUGACACAUUCUUGCAAGCUAUCACAAUUGAUGAAAUAUAAUUACGAGCACUUAGCUUUUUUGAAUUUUAUAUGCAUACCAGAAGAUUUACUCGUUACAAACAUUAAACAGACGGACCUCUUUUUCAACAAGUUGUUUCAAAUCCCACUGAGACAAAAUAAAAGUGUGCUACUGCUAAUUACUAUACUGGAACAGAAUGUAUGGUUGACAUAAAGGCUAUAUUGGAAUAUUUUAGCUGUUGUGGUGUUCCUAAUAACUUAAAACUGCUGUGAAGAUGAACUGAACAAUAAUACUCUCAAAUUAGAGAGCAAGAAAUUUCGAGUUAGUCUACUGUAGGGUAAUAAAGUUCUUAUAUAUGCUGCAAAUCAGUUGCCUUGUGGUGUAAUCACUGAUGUCAUGUUUCCAUAAGUGCCUGCUGUAAUGACCUUAAUAGUGCAAAGCUAUGUUUUAUAUAAAUUUGCCUAUUCUUUCCAGAGUGCAGGGAAAUGUAUGAGGUGAAUCAAUUUUCCUAUUCUGUUGUUGCUGCUAUAUUUAGGUGUAUGUGGGUUUAAGAUUGGACACUAAUUGUUGAACUAGGAGCUUUCCCUCGUUAGGAAUAUAAGCUGAAACUUUCCCAUUGCCUUGAUUCUUUGUAGGAAAGACAUACAAGAUGACCAGGAACCAUGAAGCUCGCAGUUUGCGUUAACUGUGUAAUGGAGAGGACUAUGAAUCGCUGGACAUGUGUCUAUUAGCUAUCAUAUAUGGUGUCUUGGUCAAGUGGAUAUUCUGUGUAAUGUAAGACGCAUGAUUUGUAGGACAUAUAUCUAUUGGCUAUCAUUUUGUAAACCUAUCCGGUCUCUCGGUCACUGAACCAUAAAUGUUUCCUCUUAAUUGGCUACCUCCUCCGUUUGUGAGAAGUAAUUAAUGUGCUAUUUUUGUUUGGUUUUGGUUUAAUAUUUUUGGAGUACAUGCAUGUUACUUUAAUUUGAUUGAUAUUGUACUGUAAUGAGAUAUAUUACUAGACGGACACUGUUUUGGU
rnacentral:lncRNA from 1 species